rnacentral:rRNA from 1 species
GGCCGCGGGAAUUCGAUUCAGGCCUAACACAUGCAAGUCGAGCGGUAGAGAGAAGCUUGCUUCUCUUGAGAGCGGCGGACGGGUGAGUAAUGCCUAGGAAUCUGCCUGGUAGUGGGGGAUAACGUUCGGAAACGGACGCUAAUACCGCAUACGUCCUACGGGAGAAAGCAGGGGACCUUCGGGCCUUGCGCUAUCAGAUGAGCCUAGGUCGGAUUAGCUAGUUGGUGAGGUAAUGGCUCACCAAGGCGACGAUCCGUAACUGGUCUGAGAGGAUGAUCAGUCACACUGGAACUGAGACACGGUCCAGACUCCUACGGGAGGCAGCAGUGGGGAAUAUUGGACAAUGGGCGAAAGCCUGAUCCAUCAGGGCCGCGUGUGUGAAGAAGGUCUUCGGA